rnacentral:rRNA from 1 species
AGAGUUUGAUCAUGGCUCAGAACGAACGCUGGCGGCAGGCCUAACACAUGCAAGUCGAGCGCCCAGCAAUGGGAGCGGCGGACGGGUGAGUAACACGUGGGAAUUUUCCUCAAGGUACGGAACAACUCAGGGAAACUUGGGCUAAUACCGUAUGAUGCAGAGAUGCCAAAGAUUUAUCGCCUUGGGAUAAGCCCGCGUCAGAUUAGGUAGUUGGUGGGGUAAUGGCCUACCAAGCCUGUGAUCUGUAGCUGUCUGAGAGGACGAUCAGCCACAUUGGGACUGAGACACGGCCCAAACUCCUACGGGAGGCAGCAGUGGGGAAUCUUGCGCAAUGGGCGAAAGCCUGACGCAGCCAUGCCGCGUGAAUGAUGAAGGUCUUAGGAUUGUAAAGUUCUUUCGCUCGUGACGAUGAUGACGGUAACGAGAGAAGAAGCCCCGGCUAACUUCGUGCCAGCAGCCGCGGUAAUACGAAGGGGGCUAGCGUUGUUCGGAAUUACUGGGCGUAAAGCGCGCGUAGGCGGCUUUGCAAGCCAGAGGUGAAAUGCCUGAGCUCAACUUAGGAAUUGCCUUUGGGACUGCGAGGCUUCGAGGACGGAAGAGGUGAGUGGAAUUCCCAGUGUAGAGGUGAAAUUCGUAGAUAUUGGGAAGAACACCGGUGGCGAAGGCGGCUCACUGGUCCGUUUCUGACGCUAAAGCGCGAAAGCGUGGGGAUCAAACAGGAUUAGAUACCCUGGUAGUCCACGCUGUAAACGAUGAGUGCUAGGCGUCGGCACGCUUGCGUGUCGGUGCCGCAGCUAACG